rnacentral:rRNA from 1 species
AGGACGAACGCUGGCGGCGUGCUUAACACAUGCAAGUCGAGCGGAAAGGCCCUUCGGGGUACUCGAGCGGCGAACGGGUGAGUAACACGUGAGUAAUCUGCCCAUCGCUUCAGGAUAGCCAUCGGAAACGGUGAUUAAUACUGGAUAUGACAUUCCUUCGCAUGUUGGGGUGUGGUAAAGUUUUUUUCGGCGGUUGGAUGUGCUCGCGGCCUAUCAGCUUGUUGGUGGGUAAUGGCCUACCAAGGCUUUGACGGGUAGCCGGCCUGAGAGGGUGACCGGCCACACGUCGGGACUGAGACCACGGCCCAGACGUCCUACGGGAGGCAGCAGGUAGGGAAUAGUUGGGACAAGUGGGGACGGAAGCCUAGGACGUACCGAGUCCAACCGGCCGCGUAGGA